CCAAAAGUUACUUCAAACUGAUUUGAUUGUAACUAGUAUUGACACUGGGAUAACUAGUAAUGACAUGUAAAACUGAUUCUUGCUUUACAUACAGGCUUGCCAUCAGGGCGUGCUCCUUAUACUCUCCAUACUGGAUCGGAAAAGACCAGUGUGUGCUGUGCUGUGGUGACAGACGGUUUCUGCUCAGAGAACACCGUGAUGAGGACCAGUUUAUUGAGAUCCGCUGCAAAGAGACUGAGCUUGAAACUUCAGAAGACAUCCAGAAAGCAUGGGAAGUGAUAAGGAAGAUUAUGACACGGCUGAACAAACUGACAGAGCAGUGGCAAGGGCUGUACCUGACUGUCCACAGUCCCUGUAAAUCCAGCGACUGUGAUGAAUACUUUGAAUGGAACGACUGGCAAGAAUGGUUAGAAGAUUCAGGGACAAGCAAAUUUAAUAUAGGACUUGAAGAAAAACACACUUGCCUUAAUGGACACCAACGAAGGACAGAGUUGCUGUUCCCUAGAACUCCUGAUGCUUUGACCUAAAGACAGGGCGUAUGGACUUGACUUGAUGGGAUGACAAAUGUGUCAUUCCUAAAAUAUUGUGAAACACAACUUGAACAUUUGUUUAUAUACUGUAAUUAAUUAAAAUACCAACUUGCACAGACAAUAGCAUUGUAAUGUUUCCACAACACGUUAUUACAUAAAUUGUAAUAGCUCCAAAACAUUAAACUAGCCUAUAUAAUAUUUACUAUAGUUAAUGUAUAUUUCUUGACUUAGCAUGAAAUGGAGGAAUCUAACAUUAUUUUGGGGAACAUACACAAGUUUUGUGUAGUCUCCUCUCGGUAAGAAACUGUUCGGUGGAUAUGUUGUCUUGUAGAAACAUAUUGUCGCCGCUAGGGGGUGAUCUUUAUACAUUUACGUUUCACAAUUUGUUUGAGGACUGUUUGUGGAGGGUAAAUUAUUGCUGCUGUGGAGUCCGGGC
ensembl:lncRNA